ACAAAGAACUUAGUUUAGAAUUGAUAGAGCUAUCCAGUAAAAAUAUUAGUGUUACACUACAGGAGGAAAGCUAAACUAAACUAACUUUAUUUAUACUGGAUAGCUCUAUCAGUUCUAAACUGUUCUUCUU